GACUGUGUCACCUGCCCCCUGAGCGUUCUGGAGCGCCAAGCUUCGCGAUCUUUGCCUUCCGGACUCGCAGACCGGCUCAAAGCCUCCCCUCAGCCUCUGGCUCCGUGAUUGGCAGGCAGCUGACAGAAGAAAAGUUAAAAGGUUAUUUCUGAAGAAGAGUUUCCUUCAGUGCCCUAAAGACCAACUGGAUAGAAGGAGAGCGGAGCAGAGGCUUGGAAGCUUGGAUCCCUCCUCCUGCACUCCCUCCCGGCCCCGACUCCGGAACAAAACAAGCAAACAAUAAAGCAAACUUGUUGCUCUUUUGUCUCAAAGUUUUGUGUGAGUUCCCAUCUCGUAAUCAGUGGGGUUGAGGGUGACGGGGAGCAGAAGUAACUAAUAUCAUUGUGUUUUCUUAGUUACAUUUUGGACAAAUUUUUACGGAUACUGGAGAUGAGAAGUGGACUCUGCUCUGUCCUGAAAACCUGGAAUCAUAACAUUUCAUGGCUAGGACUAGAGUGUCCUUGGCGCUGUGUUUCUGGUCAGUGUCAAUUGUGUGUCAUAUUGAGAUGCCCCCACAAAAACUGUCAUCAUC
rnacentral:lncRNA from 1 species